GCCGAGGUGGCUCAGCCUGGUGGAGCGUCGGACUCAUAGGGUUCCGGUCUAAUAACGGCCUCUUCCAGGGAAAUCCGAAGGUCCUGGGUUCGAACCCCAGCCUCGGCA
rnacentral:tRNA from 1 species